rnacentral:rRNA from 1 species
GGGUUUAACUCUCUGUCGGAGUCUUUUUUUCGGGUAUUCUGGCCAGUGCUCUUUAUUGAGUGUUGGUUGGUGACUCGAACGUUUACUUUGAAAAAAUUAGAGUGCUUAAAGCAGGCUAUAAGCUUGAAUAUAGUGCAUGGGAUAAUAGAAUAGGACUUUGGUCUUAUUUUGUUGGUUUUGAAGGCUGAAGUAAUGAUUAAGAGGAACAGACGGGGGCAUUCGUAUUGUUGCGUUAGAGGUGAAAUUCUUGGAUCGCAGCAAGACGAACAACUGCGAAAGCAUUUGCCAAGAAUGUUUUCAUUAAUCAAGGACGAAAGUUAGAGGUUCGAAGGCGAUCAGAUACCGCCCUAGUUCUAACCGUAAACGAUGCCAACUGGCCAUUUGCCGGCGUUAAUUUAUGACUCGGCAGGCAGCCUCCGGGAAACCAAAGUUUUCUGGUUCCGGGGGAAGUAUGGUUGCAAAGCUUAAACUUAAAGGAAUUGACGGAAGGGCACCACCAGGAGUGGAGCCUGCGGCUUAAUUUGACUCAACACAGGAAAGCUCACCCGGCCAGGACACAAUAAGGGUUGACAGAUUGAUAGCUCUUUCUCGAUUUUGUGGGUGGUGGUGCAUGGCCGUUCUUAGUUGGUGGAGCGAUUUGUCUGGUUAAUUCCGAUAACGAACGAGACUCUAGCCUAUUAAAUAGACGAGAUAUUUGUAUGUGUUCCCGUCUUCUUAGAGGGACAGGCAG